rnacentral:lncRNA from 1 species
GUGUGCCAGGACCAGAGAGGCCACCUGGGGGUAAGGGCAGGCCCCAGCUGGUGACCAGCAAGGCAAUGGAGACCUCAGUCCUACAGGCAGGGGGACACGGAUUCUGCCAGCACCCGAGAUUGCAAGGGGACAGAGUUGCAGUCCUCCCCAGGAUCUCAUUGAGGAGCCAAGCCAAGUCACACCCGGACCCCUGGUCUUCAGGUCCGUCAUCAGCACUUAUUCACUGCCGAGUGCACUCUAGAAGCUGCGUACGUUGGGUUCUUGCUGUCUUCCGAUUGUGCUCUGCCUGGCUUUUGGGCCCCUGCCACCUCCGUCCCUCGGGUCAGCAACUCAGUCCCUUCCACACCAGACCUCAGACAGACAAGAACUCCUGGCAGAGUUGGCUUCCUCGGUCCCUUAUGACCUCGCCAGUCCGAAAGCGUCAUUCUGCUCUUUCCUGCCUUCUCAGCUGGAGUCGUGCAGGGAGCAGCUGAUACAGAAGAAAGGGCGAGGUAAAGCGGGCGGGAAAGAUGAGCUGCACCUGUCAAUCACAAGAGCCCAGGGCAACGCAAAGACCCGUGUGGAGGACUUCUCACUAGCUCCCGCGAGAUGUGGGUGGCGUAAAAGAAGAACGGCCAUCACCAAAG